UUGACAUUGAUUUUUGAGUGCAUAGAGGUAUAGCAAAGGAUUAAUAAAACCCUAGCCAAACACGUGCACGAUUUGAGUAUGUUACAGAACAAUGACAGAAUCAAUGAUACAAAGUGAUAUAAAAGUGAAAUGGAACAGAUAACAAUAAGUCAUUUCACCAUCGAAAUUUUCAGCAUGGUCAGAAUUAUCUAUUUCGUUUAUGCAGUCCUCCUGGUCGGACUACUGCAGAGUCGUUUUGCAAGAAGUGAAAUUUUGAAUGGAAAUGCUGAAAAUGCUGGUGAUGCUUUGUCUCUAAAAAAACGAAGUGAAAUUUUGUAUGAAAAUAAUUUGUCUAAGGCUGGAGUUGCUGGAGGUGCUGCUGAUGAUUUAUCUCUCGAAAAACGUUCUCCACAACGACCUAAGAAGGGAAAGGCAUAUAAAGGGCAAGGAAAUAAGGAGUAUGGAAAAUAAUGAUUGUGGCAAAACGGAUUCAUAAGCCUUCUGAAACAUAAUUUAGUUUUCUGAAAAUCUUUAAAAGAAUAUUUCAACACCGAAGGACUGAAGCCUCUAUCCAGCAUAUGUUUUAAAUAAACUAUGAAAGCACA